AUAUAAAGCCUUAGCUUUGGAAACUGUCGUCGUUUCUUUUGUUUUCUCUGUAUCAAACUUUUCCAGAGUUGCCAAUCAAAUCUCAGCCCACCUAGCUGCCGCGUCUAUCGAACCCAUCGCGCGCGAACCCAAAUUUUUCUGUCUAAGCUUGGGUCUCAUCACCCUUGAGCCUCAGGUCUCCUGCCUCCUUGACCAUCAUCGUCGCGAGGACCGGUGACAAGUACCAGGUCCAGGUGGCCGAAAGCAGGGACCUUUAAGUCGCCAAUCUCAAAAGGUGCCAUGGACAUCACUCUGCCUCUUAGUAAAUUAGCUCUGCAUUUGGUUAAUCACGACGACAAGGACAAGAAAUACGUAGUUCUAGUAGCAACUGGAAGUUUCAAUCCUCCUACUUAUAUGCAUUUACGAAUGUUGGAGCUGGCAAGAGAUGCACUGAGUUCAGAAGGCUUUUGUGUCAUUGGAGGUUAUAUGUCACCUGUUAAUGAUGCGUACUAUAAGAGGGGCCUUAUAUCUGCUGAACAUCGUGUACAGUUGUGCCGUCUAGCCUGCCAGAGUUCAGAAUUUGUAAUGGUUGAUCCUUGGGAGGCAAGACAGAGUAGCUUCCAGCGCACUUUAACUAUUCUGUCUAGAGUCAAGGGUUCCUUGUCUGAGGCUGGGCUGAUACCCAGUGAAUCCCUUAAGUGCAUGCUUGUGUGUGGCUCUGAUCUACUCCACUAUUGCUGAGCAGGUAUAUGGUAAUCUACCAUAACAUUUGUCCUUCUUGAUCAGGUCAGAGGCAUAUGCAGAGAUUAUGGGGUGGUUUGCAUUCGCAGGGAAGGACAAGAUGUUGAUAAAAUUAUCUCAAAUGAUGAAAUUUUGAAAGAGAACAGGGGUAACAUAAGAAUCGUGGAUGAACUUGUACCGAACCAAAUAAGUUCAACGAGAAUAAGGGAUUGCAUUUCAAGAGGAUUGUCAGUAAAAUAUCUGACUGCAGAUGAAGUAAUUGAUUACAUUAGAGAACAUCAGCUGUACUUGAACUCAAAUGACAUGCGAUGACGAUGAUCAUCAACAGAAAGAUCUUCCUCGUUUUCUUUCAUCUCAAAGACUUCAAAAUAAGUUGAUCAUCAUUCAUCCUAAGCUCAUUAAGAAAAUAAUCUCAAAACCAUUUUUUAGCAAAUGCAUAAUUUGGUAUAUGUAAUAGAUCAAAGAAACUAACUUAGUUUAUACUCAAAUACAUAAUAGAAUCCAUAGAUACAGAUACAGAUCUUCUCUAACAUGUGCUAAGGCUGUAGAUGGCCUUUUCUUUGCUAAGGUUGCCGAGCCAUCAGCGGUAAUUGAAGGGCUUAAAAAGGUAGAAUUCAACGAUGUGGUGUUGAAUGUUGAAGAUGCGAUAACACAAUUUGGAUGUGUA